rnacentral:rRNA from 1 species
AGUGAACGCUGGCGGUAGGCCUAACACAUGCAAGUCGAACGGCAGCACAGUAAGAGCUUGCUCUUACGGGUGGCGAGUGGCGGACGGGUGAGGAAUACAUCGGAAUCUACUUUUUCGUGGGGGAUAACGUAGGGAAACUUACGCUAAUACCGCAUACGACCUACGGGUGAAAGCAGGGGAUCUUCGGACCUUGCGCGACUGAAUGAGACGAUGUCGGAUUAGCUAGUUGGCGGGGUAAAGGCCCACCAAGGCGACGAUCCGUAGCUGGUCUGAGAGGAUGAUCGGCCACACUGGAACUGAGACACGGUCCAGACUCCUACGGGAGGCAGCAGUGGGGAAUAUUGGGCAAAGGGCGCAAGCCUGAUCCAGCCAUACCGCGUGAGUGAAGAAGGCCUUCGGGUUGUAAAGCCCUUUUGUUGGGGAAGAAAAGCAGCAGGUUAAUACCCCGCUGUUCUGACGGUACCCAAAGAAUAAGCACCGGCUAACUACGUG